AUUGAACGCUGGCGGAAUGCUUUACACAUGCGAGUCGAACGGUAGAGGGGACAACCCCUUGCGAGUGGCGAACGGGGGAGUAAUAUAUCGGAACGUGCCCAGUCGUGGGGGAUAACGUAGCGAAAGUUACGCUAAUACCGCAUACGAUCUAAGGAUGAAAGCGGGGGAUCGCAAGACCUCGCGCGACUGGAGCGGCCGAUAUCAGAUUAGGUAGUUGUUAGGGUAAAGGCCUACCAAGCCAACGAUCUGUAGCUGGUCUGAGAGGACGACCAGCCACACUGGAACUGAGACACGGUCCAGACUCCUACGGGAGGCAGCAGUGGGGAAUUUUGGACAAUGGGCGAAAGCCUGAUCCAGCCAUUCCGCGUGCAGGAUGAAGGCCCUCGGGUUGUAAACUGCUUUUGUACAGAACGAAAAGGUUUCUAUUAAUACUAGGAGCUCAUGACGGUACUGUAAGAAUAAGCACCGGCUAACUACGUG
rnacentral:rRNA from 1 species